rnacentral:rRNA from 1 species
UACGGAGGAUGCGAGCGUUAUCCGGAUUUAUUGGGUUUAAAGGGUGCGUAGGUGGUUUAAUAAGUCAGUUGUGAAAGUUUGCGGCUCAACCGUAAAAUUGCAAUUGAAACUGUUAAACUUGAGUGUAUUUGAGGUGGGCGGAAUCCGUAGUGUAGCGGUGAAAUGCUUAGAUAUUACGAAGAACUCCGAUUGCGUAGGCAGCUCACUAAACUACAACUGACACUGAGGCACGAAAGUGUGGGUAUCAAACAGG